CCUCCAGCAGGUCCAGCUUGCCUGUUAGAAGCAGCAUGAAGCAGGCUGCUCUGUAACUCUAACCUUCUCCAAAUUCGUCAGGGAAAUGAUUCAAGGCCUCCUGUGGAUCUUGCCACUUUGUCAAAGCCACUGGGGAACCAAACACACUGGGAGUCCACCCUGUUUCCUUGUGGACGAGCAAGGCAGCUCCUUUCACGAAAGCCCAACCCCAAGGGAGGAAUGCUCCAGUGGUCACACAAGAAAGAGACUGAGCACCAGAGAAGCUAAACAGCUGGCCGAGGCCUUGUAGUUUUUGGCAGACACAACAUCUUUGUUUGUAUGUGGUGCUGAGGAUGGAACCCGGGCCGCAUGCAUGCCAGGCGAGCGCACUACCACUUGAGCCACAUCCCCAGCCCAACUUUAAAACUUUUAAAGAAAGGAGUUAAAAACAAAGCAAUGCAAAAACACCCAAUCCUGUUGGUCACGAUGGAUAUUUUCCUGACUUGAGAGGGAUGUUAUUCCCCAUCAACCCAUCCAAGUACUAGGCAGACACUCAGUGCCUGCAAAAAUCAGAUCUUCCAGACACAUGGUACAGACAUUUCCAAGGUACUCAAACAGGUCAAGGAGGACAGAUCACCCAGAAAGGGGCAGCCUUCCAUCCAACCCUCUGCUGCCAGGAGGCAUCCUCCUCAGUGACAUCUGCAAGAGUGUUCCAGGUGAAGUGCUAGUCCUGGCCCAAUGCACAGGGCCUUCGACGAUCUUGCGUACCUCCCUUCUGUCUUCCCAGGUCAGUUUGUCUGUCUCCCCAGCAGAGCCAGCUGUUCUGUGAGGGAAGGGCCAGGCUUGCUCCUGCUGCAGCACAUGGGAUCUACCCUGCCGUUUUGGCAGGAACUCAGUAUAUGGGGAUGGGAGGAGUGGAGGGAAGAAGCACAGUUGUUAUGUCUGUUGAGAAACCAGAACAAGUAUCUGCUAGGAUUUCAUCUAGAAACUCCAUGCUGGAACCUGGUGUGUGAACAGAGACUGGACUGGAACAAGAGGCACUGGUUCUAAACAGGGGCUUCCCUCGGGCAGUAACCAUUGGAGUGCAUCGCCACACCUGAGCUGCGAAGCAACAUGGAGAAGAGACAGACCACUGCCGCUCACAGGCAGCACAGUUCCGUGAGGCUGCACUGGCCUCAGCCACAUGGUUUGGACUGAGGGCUUGUGAUUCCUCGUUCCUGAUUCUUCCUUUCAUAUUUUUCACAUUGUGGGUGUUUCUCCAACAAAGAACUCUUCUUUUUUUUUUUUUUAAAUACUGAGGCUGAAAGAGUGAAAACUAAGGCAAUGAAAGCAAUCCAAGCUCCCUGGAGGGACAUGAAGGCAGGCAGGAAGGGACCAGGUUCACUCCUUUACUCUAAGGUGCCACAGGAGCUCAACAGACAGGAGGCCCCUGAAGGAAAGAAGUGAGAGGCAGGCAACAGGCUUGGCAAUCAGAACAAGAGCAGUGAACAGCGUUCACAGCCUCGGCCAUGCACACACCCCACUCAUGGGGCCCCACAAUUGCCACGGCCACUUCAGGGAAGAGCUGAGAGAAAUCACACUGGCAGUCGAAAGAGCCAGGCAAAGGUGUGACCUGGUUCUGCCACUUACGACAAGUCACGCCUUGCCUUGCCUUGCCUCUGCUCUCUCCACGUCACCCCUCUCAACUAAGUAACAACAGGCCACUAUUCCCAUGUCUUACCUCACCUUACAAGUCUCUAAUGAAGGCCAAGGACAUGGCAGAGAAAAUAGUCCUUCAUAGUGGACACAGGCUGGCAUGAGGAUAACGGAGAAGCGUAAUUACUUAAAUCCUACCAAAGGGAGGUCACAAAAUCAAAUGGGAAUCCACGGGUGCUGAGGCCGCCCUGGCCAGGGUGCCAACCCUGCCCCAUCUUAGUUUGUGUGACAUGUCUGCCUGGCCCUCUGUUUCUUAAUCCACUAAAUGGGCAUCUCUACCUACUUUACCAAGUUGUUGGGAAGGGCACAGAGUAUCAUGCAAAGUUUUUAAUACAGAGCUUGGGACAAAGGAGAUGCUUAACCAAUGAUGUGACUGCUCUUAAACCAUGAGUACACAUGUCCAGCAAAGCCAGACAGCCACAGACGUGCUGAUUCCAUACACUGCCACAUGACAGAAGUGAGGUGCCUGGCAGACCUUGGGCCUGCCUCACUCAUGGAAAUACCCCUAUUAUUUAGGAUUUGAAUGUAAUCUAGAAGUCUGGACAAGUAUAAAAUGAAAAAUGAAGUAUAAUUUUUAAAAUUUUUACUCAGACUAAAAUAGCCAAUUGAUUUGUACCACCUCUCCUGACACCACCUCUCCUGACACCACCUCUCCUGACACCUCCCCUCCUGACACCACCACCGUCUGCUUUUGAAACAUUCAUCUCAUUCAUUCAACAAACCCUGGCUCUGGGUUCUGUGCUGGGUCCUGGGUGUGGCAGAAGAGAAGAGCUAUUCCCUGCCUUUAAGAAGCCCACUAUGGCUAUGGAGGAGGUGAGGGGAAAAGGCAAGGCUGUGGGGAGCACCGUGGGCAAGAGUCAGGGCGAGAAGUGUGGUCCUGACAUGGGCAGGGCAGGAGGAGAGUACCAAUAAAUAGUGAAGGGCUGACAGGGAGCUGGCCCAGGCCACUGCCUCAGCAUUUAAGGAAUGACAUCAUUAAGGAGCAUGGUUGCCAUUAACCAGACUGGUGUUUUCCUUUUUCGUUUCAUGGCAUGGUUACAAGCUAAAAAGUCAAUUAAAAAUAAAUAAAGCUCCCAAUAUUAAGUACUUACUAUAUGUUAAGAACUAUCCUAACUGCAUUACAAAUAAAUAUGUUCAAUUCUCACUUGUUCACUUAUCCAUCUAUCUACUCACUCGUGAA